CCUGCUCCUCUCCCCAGCGCUAGCCCCGCGCCCCUGGCCCCUCGGGGCCACACGCUGCUCCCCGUGAGCCUCGCGCCUCGGGACAGGGGUCCUUGCGCCACCACGCCUCGCCCGCCGGGACCCGCAUGGGCGGAGAAGGACCGAGAAGUUACCCCGCCCUGGGAUUUCAGGUCUGAGACCCGCAGGGAGAGCAACUGGACAAGGUCGUGCCUUCACGCCCACCCUGGAUGGGGAAACUGAGUCCCGGAAGACUGUGGCAAGACCUGCAGAGACAGCGCCAGACUCCCUCCAUUCAACUCCUGACCCCGUCUAUGCCUUGGGGGGUGACACGGUGACCCUGGGGUCUUUGUGCCCGGUGGUCUGUAAGCAGUCCCGAAAGGCGGAUGAGAAAGCCCCUCUGGUUGAUGAACUCCCUGUGCUUUGGAAAACAUGUAAAAGUUGCCCAGAAGGGGAGACUUGUCCCUGGGGGACCAUCCGAGGGCCCCUUCUGCACAUACUGGCUUAGGGUUCCUCCCCCACCAAGGCUCGAGGCCCGGCCCUGCUCAGAGAGACUACAGAGCUGGGGCUGACCUGCUCUCAUUAGGGGUGUUAAAGCAUGACCGUUGCUGGGAACCAGAGAUUCUGAGACAGGAGAACAGUGUGGUGGACAUAGUUGUUGUCUGGGGGUUUUUUUGUUUUUUUUUUUAAGUUCUCAGUGUUUUUACUAUGGUUAUUGUUAUUAUUAUUUUACUUUUUAUUAUGGAUUUGCAAACAUAUACAGAGGUAGAAAGAAUGGUAUGAAAGACCCCGGAAACCCAUCACCCAGCCUCAGUUAGGAACUCGUGGCCAAUCUUGUUUCCCUCCCCCAUCCCCACCCCCCAACCCGUUAUUCUGAGGUGAACACGGGUAUCUUAUCAUUUCACCCCCUCAGGUAUUUGUCACUUCCAGCUGGGGUUCGAAGCUAUGCCAAGGCUGGCUCCGAAUCCAGGGCUCAUCCUGCUGCCCUGCCUCAGCUGAGGCUCAGUGAGAUUGAAGGACGUUGCUCAAGUUCAGGCAAAGCUAGGAUCUGAACCCAUUUCUACGAAGGCCAGAACCCGAGUACUUCACCCUACCCUGUGCUGGGGGUUCCCCAAAGUCCCAGGGAUACUGAGCCCUUUCUGCCCUGUGUGUGACCCCUGGGGUUUUGCAAAAAAGACUCUCGAGCCUCUGGCAAGGCAGCCACACCUCACGGGGAAACCCACAGCACACGGGACGUUCUGAGUAAAGACAACGGAAAACCACAUGGUGCAGUGGAAAGAGCACAGAUUUGGGGUCAGGCUGAUCUAAAUCGAACUUGGAGCUCCACCCUUGGCUCAAGUCGAUAGCUCAGUUUCUCUGGGCCUCGGUUUCCUCAUCUGUAAAGUAGGGGCAUUCAUACUAACCCCCGGUGGAGUUGUUGUGAGGCUCAAAUAAAAUGAUGUGAAAAUGCCUAACCUA